GGGGAUGUCUUGGAUUCGCCAGGGCAUUUAUAUUUAAGUUAUAAGCAGGCAGAGCUGAUUUCUCUUAAAACUAAUCAAAAAAAACAAACGCAAAUUUUAAUCAAAAUCAAAAUUUAGCAUUCGCUUUCUAGUAUGAAGGCAAAAGAUAAUUUGUAAUCUUAGUCCAAGUUAUCUAAAAAUUAUAAGAUAUAUUAAUAAUCUCGCUUAGGAUAUUAAUGAAAAAAUAAGCAAAAUUAUUUAAUGUUGUUUCUCACCACUAUUAAAUAAUUAUCAUGAUGAGAAAGCCUGUAGAAAGUAAUUUGGGUUGUGUCUUGUACAGGGGUUCGAUUCCCCUCAUCUCCACCA
rnacentral:tmRNA from 1 species